rnacentral:tRNA from 1 species
GGACUCUUAGCUCAAUUGGUCAGAGCAGUUGACUCAUAAUCAAAAGGUCGUAGGGUCAAGCCCUACAGGGUCCA